rnacentral:rRNA from 1 species
AAGCGGUGGAUGAUGUGGUUUAAUUCGAUGCAACGCGAAAACCUUACCACCUUUGACAUGUACGGAACCCUUUAGAGAUAGAGGGUGCUCGAAAGAGAGCCGUAACACAGGUGCUGCAUGGCUGUCGUCAGCUCGUGUCGUGAGAUGUUGGGUUAAGUCCCGCAACGAGCGCAACCCUUAUCAUUAGUUGCUAACAUUCAGUUGAGAACUCUAAUGAGACUGCCAGUGAUAAACUGGAGGAAGGUGGGGAUGGCGUCAAAUCAUCAUGCCCCUUAUGACCUGGGCUACACACGUGCUACAAUGGCCGGUACAAAGAGUUGCGAAACUGUGAAGUUAAGCUAAUCUCAUAAAGCCGGUCUCAGUUCGGAUUGUAGUCUGCAACUCGACUACAUGAAGUCGGAAUCGCUAGUAAUCGCGAAUCAGAAUGUCGCGGUGAAUACGUUCUCGAGUCUU